AGAGCGACCGGUGCUUGCACUGGUCAAUCUAGUGGCGAACGGGUGAGUAACACGUGGGUAACCUGCCCAUCAGAGGGGGAUAACAUUCGGAAACGGAUGCUAAAACCGCAUAGGUCCUUUAACCGCAUGGUUGAAGGAGGAAAAGAGGCGCAAGCUUCUGCUGAUGGAUGGACCCGCGGUGCAUUAGCUAGUUGGUGAGGUAACGGCUCACCAAGGCCGUGAUGCAUAGCCGACCUGAGAGGGUGAUCGGCCACAUUGGGACUGAGACACGGCCCAAACUCCUACGGGAGGCAGCAGUAGGGAAUCUUCCGCAAUGGACGCAAGUCUGACGGAGCAACGCCGCGUGAGUGAAGAAGGUUUUCGGAUCGUAAAACUCUGUUGUUAGAGAAGAACAAGUGCUAGAGUAACUGUUAGCGCCUUGACGGUAUCUAACCAGAAAGCCACGGCUAACUACGUGCCAGCAGCCGCGGUAAUACGUAGGUGGCAAGCGUUGUCCGGAUUUAUUGGGCGUAAAGCGAGCGCAGGCGGUUCCUUAAGUCUGAUGUGAAAGCCCCCGGCUCAACCGGGGAGGGUCAUUGGAAACUGGGGAACUUGAGUGCAGAAGAGGAGAGUGGAAUUCCAUGUGUAGCGGUGAAAUGCGUAGAUAUAUGGAGGAACACCAGUGGCGAAGGCGACUCUCUGGUCUGUAACUGACGCUGAGGCUCGAAAGCGUGGGUAGCAAACAGGAUUAGAUACCCUGGUAGUCCACGCCGUAAACGAUGAGUGCUAAGUGUUGGAGGGUUUCCGCCCUUCAGUGCUGCAGUUA
rnacentral:rRNA from 1 species